rnacentral:rRNA from 1 species
UGGGAGAUAUUGCGCAAUGGGCGAAAGCCUGACGCAGCGACGCCGCGUGAGGGAUGAAGGUUUUCGGAUCGUAAACCUCUGUCGGAAGGGAAGAAGGCGCACCGUGCCAAUCAGCGGUGUGUUGACGGUACCUUCAAAGGAAGCGCCGGCUAACUCCGUGCCAGCAGCCGCGGUAAUACGGAGGGCGCAAGCGUUAAUCGGAAUUACUGGGCGUAAAGCGCGCGUAGGCUGUUUCGUAAGUCAGGGGUGAAAUCCCACGGCUCAACCGUGGAACUGCCCUUGAUACUGCGGGACUUGAAUCCGGGAGAGGUGGCGGAAUUCCAGGUGUAGGAGUGAAAUCCGUAGAUAUCUGGAGGAACACCAGUGGCGAAGGCGGCCACCUGGCCCGGUAUUGACGCUGAGGUGCGAAAGCGUGGGAGCAAACAGGAUUAGAUACC